GAUGAACGCUGGCGGCGUGCCUAAUACAUGCAAGUCGAGCGAACGGACGAGAAGCUUGCUUCUCUGAUGUUAGCGGCGGACGGGUGAGUAACACGUGGAUAACCUACCUAUAAGACUGGGAUAACUUCGGGAAACCGUAGCUAAUACCGGAUAAUAUUUUGAACCGCAUGGUUCAAAAGUGAAAGACGGUCUUGCUGUCACUUAUAGAUGGAUCCGCGCUGCAUUAGCUAGUUGGUAAGGUAACGGCUUACCAAGGCAACGAUGCAUAGCCGACCUGAGAGGGUGAUCGGCCACACUGGAACCGAGACACGGUCCAGACUCCUACGGGAGGCAGCAGUAGGGAAUCUUCCGCAAUGGGCGAAAGCCUGACGGAGCAACGCCGCGUGAGUGAUGAAGGUCUUCGGAUCGUAAAACUCUGGUAUUAGGGAAGAACAUAUGUGUAAGUAACUGUGCACAUCUUGACGGUACCUAAUCAGAAAGCCACGGCUAACUACGUG
rnacentral:rRNA from 1 species